rnacentral:lncRNA from 1 species
AGACUCGGCGCAACGGGGGCAGCUGCGACUUUAAAUCUCUCAGAUCCGCGGCCUGAGGGCUGCCGCCACCGAGAAAUGGAGGCACAGAGCUGUGAACAAGAGACCACGGCUCGCCGAAAUGGCGGUGCCAGGAGCCUGAAAGGGAAUGCAGCCGGCGGGGUUGUCAAGGACAACAUUUGUUUUGGCGCAACCAGCGGUGCCGUCACCAAGAAACCGUCGACUCUGAGAAAAAAAGAGAAGUUCGGCUACCGAGAAACUCCGUGCAGCAAGUGCUGUGACAGCAAAACCGCCGGCUUCGCGCCGCUGGCGAAAGAGCCAACGGAAACGCCGGGUGCUGCGACCGCGAAGCCGGCACUAGAGGGCCUCGGAUGGAGAAAGCCCCGCACCGAGACGAGGAAACUGUGCACAGCACGACUAGCAGUUGACACAAACAGAAAAGUGUCUCGUCUGCUCUCUGGGAGAAAGCGUGGAUCAAAACCAGCAACUCAGUGGAGAGAACCCCGCAGCCACUGAAGAAGUUGCCCACGUGGCGGUGGGGCCAGAGAAACACCGCGAUUUCGACGACAGCCGUAGGGAUACCACAGAGAAACAUGCGCGGCCACAGAAGUACAUCCAGCUCCGCGCAAUCAGUGGUUCUGCGAUCCAGAAACCGCCAGCUGGGCUAGACUAGAAACUUCUAAAAAACUGUCGUCCCAUAGCAGCUUUCCUAACCACGACAGACAGUCGCCUUUAGAGAGCACCUAACGGUGCUGAGACCGGCCUGGGCCAGCAAAAGCGCAGAGCGGUGCCAGUGCCAAGAAACGCCCGACUUGGUGAAACCAACCUUGUGACCACCGAUUCCACUGGCUUCGCAGGACGCAACGGGCGAAGGCGCGGCGGAGAAACCGCAGGCUCCCUUCACCGAUUAUGCUGCGGGCUGGGGAUGGUGGGGGGCACCCGCGAAAUUGUGAAACCAGCGGCGCUGGGACCCAGCGAUCAGCUGCCCGUAGCAAAUGUCUGUGCAGUUGCAAAAGAUAAUUUUUGGCCGUGAGAAGGUUGCCGCCAGAGAGCGUCCGAUAACGCUGACAAAGGCGUGGCGUUGCCAGUGAGAAACAGCCGGCGCUGGGAAAGGAACGGUGCAGCGACCGACCAACUGCGCGCUCGGUGCCACCAAAGUGCUACUGGCUCUACCCACUCUGUCCCCCACGGGCUUAGGGAAGUCUGAUGUCUUUUUCUUUUCUUUUUUCCUCUGUCGCCUAGGCUGGUGCAGUGGUGUCAUCUUGGCUCAGUGCAGCCUCGACUUCCUGGGAUCCAGCGAUCCUCCCGCUUCAGCCUCUAGAGUAGCCGAGACCACAGGAUUUGGAAGAGGGCAGGAGAGAAAAAUGAACUGCAAGACUCCAGCACAAGAGGUGGGAUUGCUGGCAGAUGUCUGCUCCCUCUCCAAACCUAAUGAACAUCUCAAAGUGCCAUCCACUUUCCUAUACCCUUGAUCUGUGAAAUGGAUCACUGACGCUUUCUCUGUCUUUCCGGAAAUGCAAAACAGGAACAGAAACAACACACUCAGACUUGAGAAACUGGUCUGGUUUAAAAGGGUUCCUGGCCUUACAGGUGGGUAAGAAAUGUCACUUCCUGGCAGGCUGAGGAACAUCAGGAUAUUUGGAGGACCUUGACAAGGGAAGAAUUCACCGAAAUCUAUAGGUAUUCCAGGCAAAGUGUGAUAGCAAGAUC